CCCCUCCACCGAAUGCCUAAGGUUUCCUGAGGAAGGCUCGUCCGCUCAGGGUUAGUCGGGACCUAAGCCGAGGCCGAAAGGCGUAGGCGAUGGACAACAGGUUGAUAUUCCUGUACCACCUCCUCACCAUUUGAGCAAUGGGGGGACGCAGGAGGAUAGGGUAAGCGCGGUAUUGGAUAUCCGCGUCCAAGCAGUUAGGCUGGGAAAUAGGCAAAUCCGUUUCCCGUAAGGCUGAGCUGUGAUGGCGAGCGAAAUAUAGU
rnacentral:rRNA from 1 species